AUGCCGAUCCUGUACGCGGUGGUGGCGCGGGGCGCGACGGUGCUGGCGGAGCACAGCGCGGCGGCGACCAACGCGGGCGCCGUCGCGCGCCAGGUCCUCGAGCGCCUCCCCGGCGGCGGCGCCGACAGCCACGUCUCCUACACCCAGGACCGCUACGUCUUCCACGCCAAGCGCACCGACGGCAUCACCGCCCUCUGCAUGGCCGACGACGCCGCCGGACGGCGUAUCCCAUUUGCUUUCCUCGAGGAUAUCCAUGGAAAGUUUGUUAAGACAUAUGGCCGUGCUGCACUGACAGCUCUUGCUUAUGCAAUGAAUGACGAAUUCUCAAGGGUUCUCAGUCAGCAAAUGGACUACUAUUCAAAUGACCCUAGUGCAGAUCAAAUCAACCGUAUGAGAGGCGAAAUCAGUCAGGUUAGGAGUGUUAUGAUUGAUAAUAUUGAUAAAGUCCUUGAAAGAGGUGACCGUUUAGACCUAUUGGUGGACAAGACUACAACUAUGCAAGGGAAUACAGUUCGAUUCAAAAGACAGGCUCGCCGCUACAGAAGCACAACUUGGUGGAGAAAUGUCAAACUCACGGCCGCGUUGAUACUCCUCCUCCUUGUAAUAGUAUACAUCGCCCUCUUCUUCGUUUGCCACGGCUUCACCUUGCCGACUUGCAUCCGGUGA
rnacentral:rRNA from 1 species